AUAAUCUCGGGAAACUGAGGAUAAUACCCAUAGACCACUACGCCUGGAACGGUGAGUGGUUGAAAGCUCCGGCGGUGUAGGAUGGGUCUGCGGCGUAUCAGGUCGUAGGGGGUGUAAUGGACCUCCUAGCCAUCGACGCGUACGGGUUGUGGGAGCAAUAGCCCGGAGACGGAUUCUGAGACACGAAUCCGGACCCUACGGGGUGCAGCAGGCGCGAAAACUUCACACUGCAGGAAACUGUGAUGAGGGAACUCCAAGUGACUGCACAAUGUGUAGCCUUUUCUUGAAUCUUAAUAGUUCUUGGAAUAAGGGCUGGGAAAGACCGGUGCCAGCCGCCGCGGUAAUACCGGCGGCUCAAGUGGUCGUCGCUUUUAUUGGGCCUAAAACGUCCGUAGCCUGUUUGGUAAAUCUGUGGGUAAAUCAACGAGCUUAACUCGUUGAAUUCUGCAGAGACUGGCAGACUAGGGACCGGGAGAGGUAUGAGGUACUCUGGGGGUAGGGGUAAAAUCCUGUCAUCCU
rnacentral:rRNA from 1 species